rnacentral:rRNA from 1 species
CAGUCGCCACGGGAAUACGUAGGUGGCAAGCGUUGUCCGGAAUUAUUGGGCGUAAAGGGCUCGCAGGCGGUUUCUUAAAUCUGAUGUGAAAGCCCCCGGCUCAACCGGGGAGGGUCAUUGGAAACUGUUAAACUUGAGUGCAGGAGAGAAAAGUGGAAUUCCUAGUGUAGCGGUGAAAUGCGUAGAGAUUAGGAGGAACACCAGUGGCGAAGGCGGCUUUUUGGCCUGUAACUGACACUGAGGCGCGAAAGCGUGGGGAGCAAACAGGAUUAGAUACCCCCGUAGUCCCUGUCUCUUAUAC